rnacentral:rRNA from 1 species
AACAGGAUUAGAUACCCUGGUAGUCCACGCUGUAAACGAUGUCGACUUGGAGGUUGUGCCCUUGAGGCGUGGCUUCCGGAGCUAACGCGUUAAGUCGACCGCCUGGGGAGUACGGCCGCAAGGUUAAAACUCAAAUGAAUUGACGGGGGCCCGCACAAGCGGUGGAGCAUGUGGUUUAAUUCGAUGCAACGCGAAGAACCUUACCAACUCUUGACAUCCAGAGAAUUUGCUAGAGAUAGCUUAGUGCCUUCGGGAACUCUGAGACAGGUGCUGCAUGGCUGUCGUCAGCUCGUGUUGUGAAAUGUUGGGUUAAGUCCCGCAACGAGCGCAACCCUUAUCCUUUGUUGCCAGCACGUAAUGGUGGGAACUCAAAGGAGACUGCCGGUGAUAAACCGGAGGAAGGUGGGGAUGACGUCAAGUCAUCAUGGCCCUUACGAGUAGGGCUACACACGUGCUACAAUGGCAUAUACAAAGAGAAGCGAACUCGCGAGAGCAAGCGGACCUCAUAAAGUAUGUCGUAGUCCGGAUUGGAGUCUGCAACUCGACUCCAUGAAGUCGGAAUCGCUAGUAAUCGUAGAUCAGAAUGCUACGGUGAAUACGUUCCCGGGCCUUGUACACACCGCCCGUCACACCAUGGGAGUGGGUUGCAAAAGAAGUAGGUAGCUUAACCUUCGGGAGGGCGCUUACCACUUUGUGAUUCAUGACUGGGGUGAAGUCGUAACAAGGUAACC